rnacentral:rRNA from 1 species
UACGGAGGGGGCUAGCGUUGUCCGAAGUUACUGGGCGUAAAGAGCGUGUAGGCGGCCAGGUAGGUCCGUUGUGAAAACUCGAGGCUCAACCUCGAGACGCCGAUGGAAACCAUCUGGCUAGAGUCCGGAAGAGGAGAGUGGAAUUCCUGGUGUAGCGGUGAAAUGCGCAGAUAUCAGGAAGAACACCCGUGGCUAAGGCGGCUCUCUAGUACGGUACUGACGCUGAGACGCGAAAGCGUGGGGAGCGAACAGG